rnacentral:rRNA from 1 species
GACGAACGCUGGCGGCGUGCUUAACACAUGCAAGUCGAACGAUGAUGCUGGAGCUUGCUCCAGUUGAUUAGUGGCGAACGGGUGAGUAACACGUGAGCAAUCUGCCCUUGACUCUGGGAUAACUGCGGGAAACUGUAGCUAAUACCGGAUACUUUCACCGGGGGGCAUCCUCUGGUGAUGAAAGAAUUUCGGUCAAGGAUGAGCUCGCGGCCUAUCAGCUUGUUGGUGAGGUAACGGCUCACCAAGGCGACGACGGGUGACCGGCCUGAGAGGGUGACCGGUCACACUGGGACUGAGACACGGCCCAGACUCCUACGGGAGGCAGCAGUGGGGAAUAUUGCACAAUGGGCGCAAGCCUGAUGCAGCAACGCCGCGUGAGGGAUGAAGGCCUUCGGGUUGUAAACCUCUUUUAGCAGGGAAGAGGCGAAAGUGACGGUACCUGCAGAAAAAGCACCGGCUAACUACGUGCCAGCCGCCGCCGUAA